UUGGAGGGCAAGUCUGGUGCCAGCAGCCGCGGUAAUUCCAGCUCCAAUAGCGUAUAUUAAAGUUGUUGCAGUUAAAAAGCCCGUAGUUGAAUUUCGGGGUUCUACCGUUGGUCGGGCUUUGUCUGUACUGGUGUGUAGAAUUUCUACCUUCUGGGGAACCAUCAUGCUAUUAAUUUAGCGUGGUGGGAAACCAGGACCUUUACCUUGAAAAAAUUAGUGUGUUCAAAGCAGGCUUAUGUCUGAAUACAUUAGCGUGGAAUAAUAGAAUAGGACGGUGGUCCUGUUUUGUUGGUUUCUGAAUCACCGUAAUGAUUAAUAGGGAUAGUUGGGGGCAUUAGUAUUCAAUUGUCAGAGGUGAAAUUCUUGGAUUUAUUGAAGACUAACUUCUGCGAAAGCAUUUGCCAAGGAUGUUUUCAUUAAUCAAGAACGAAAGUUAGGGGAUCGAAGACGAUCAGAUACCGUCGUAGUCUUAACCAUAAACUAUGCCGACUAGGGAUCGGACGAUGUUAAUUUUUCUUGACUCGUUCGGCGCCUUACGGGAAAC
rnacentral:rRNA from 1 species